GAAUGAUUUGACGAAAGAAAAUCUGUCUUAGCCUAUUUUAAAAAAAUUAACCUAGAAGUUAAAAGGCUUCUAUUUCCUAAAGGGACGACAAGACCCUAUAAAGCUUUAUUUAUAAUAUUUUUAUUUACUUCAAUAAAAAAUAUAAAUUUAUAAAUUCUAUUGGGGCGAUAGAUAAAUAAACAUUAUUGACUAUAACGUUUUUAACGAAAUUUAUAAAAUGUUUUUAAAACCUACAACAAGUUACUUUAGGGAUAACAGCAUAAUUUCUUUUUAGAGUCCUUAUCGACAAAGAAGAUUAUGACCUCGAUGUUGGAUUAAG
rnacentral:rRNA from 1 species